rnacentral:lncRNA from 1 species
AUGGACUUGACGCCGACACAGGAAGAGCGACUCAGAGUAGAUCGUGCCAUCUCCAUUUUGGAGACCAGGAUGGCCGUACUCCUGGAUCCACUACGAACUAGCGAACAGGCUCGUCAGGUGACCGGCGCCCAGAUCCAAGCUUUAGCAGCCACGCCGCUCAGGCCUCAAGCCCCUCUUGCCAUGUCACAUCCAGCUGUGGUCCCAGGGGUCGCACUGCAUCUACGUCCAGCGGUGGUCCCAGGGGUCGCACCUCAUCCAGGUCCAGCGGUGGUCCCAGGGGUCGCACCUCAUCCAGGUCCAGCGGUGGUCCAAGGGGUCGCACCGCAUCCACGUCCAGUGGUGGUCCAAGGGGUCGCACCGCAUUCACGUCCAGCGGUGGUCCCAGAAAAUGCACCACAUCCACGUCCAGCGGUGGUCCCGGGGGUCGCACUGCAUCCAUUCCCAGGGGUCGCACUGCAUCCACGUCCAGCGGUGGUCCAAGGGGUUGCACUGCAUCCACUUCCAGCGGUGGUCCCAUGGGUCGCACCGCAUCCACGUCCAGCGGUGGUCCCAGGGAUCGCACUGCAUCCAGGUCCAGCAGUGGUCCCAGGGGUCGAACCGCAUCCACGUCCAGUGGUGGUCCAAGGGGUUGCAACACAUCCACGUCCAGUGGUGGUCCCAGAAGAUGCACUGCAUCCAGGUCCAGCAGUGGUCCCAGGGAUCGAACCGCAUCCACGUCCAGCAGUGGUCCAAGAGGAUCCACCCAUCCAAGAGGCUCUGCCCGAUGCUCCGCCUGUCCAAGAGGCUCCGCCUGUCCAAGUGGCUCCACCAGCGUCCCCAUCUCCUGCAGAGACUUCGCCUCCAGCGUCCUCGCCUCCUGCAGAGACGUUGUCUCCAGCGUCCCCGUCUCCUCCCGAGACUUUGCCUCCAGCGUCCCAUCUCCUCCAGAGACUUUGCCUCCAGUCAAGUCGGCACCACCUCCGGCGCCUCCAGCCAAGUCGGCACCACCUCCGGCGCCUCCUGCCAAGUCGGCGGGCCUGCCUCCAGUGA